rnacentral:rRNA from 1 species
ACGGAGGGUGCGAGCGUUAAUCGGAAUCACUGGGCGUAAAGCGCACGUAGGCGGUGUCGUAAGACGGAUGUGAAAGCCCUCGGCUCAACCGGGGAACUGCAUUCGAUACUGCGUCGCUUGAGUGCCGGAGAGGGUGACGGAAUUCCAGGUGUAGCAGUGAAAUGCGUAGAUAUGUGGAGGAACACCGAUGGCGAAGGCAGCCACCUGGGCGGCAACUGACGCUGAGGUGCGAAAGCGUGGGGAUCAAACAG